rnacentral:rRNA from 1 species
AGUGAGGCUUUCGGACUGGCCCAGGGAGAGUGGCAACACUCACCCAGGGCCGGAAAGUUGUUCAAACUUGGUCAUUUAGAGGAAGUAAAAGUCGUAACAAGGUUUCCGUAGGUGAACCUGCGGAAGGAUCAUUAAAAAAAAGAGAAACGUCCCGUUUWUUUYWUMWGRAUGGGUUCUAUUCCCUUAAACCGUGUCUACAUACCUUUGUUGCUUUGGCAGGCCGCCUUCGGGCGUCGGCUCCGGCUGAUAGUGCCUGCCAGAGGACCCAAACUCUAUGUUUAGUGAUGUCUGAGUACUAUAUAAUAUUUAAAACUUUCAACAACGGAUCUCUUGGUUCUGGCAUCGAUGAAGAACGCAGCGAAAUGCGAUAAGUAAUGUGAAUUGCAGAAUUCAGUGAAUCAUCGAAUCUUUGAACGCACAUUGCGCCCCUUGGUAUUCCGAGGGGCAUGCCUGUUCGAGCGUCAUUAUAACCACUCAAGCCUGGCUUGGUAUUGGGGUUUUCGCGUGUUCGCGGCCCUUAAAAUCAGUGGCGGUGCCGUCUGGCUCUAAGCGUAGUAAUUUCUCUCGCUAUAGGGUUCUGGUGGUUACUUGCCAAAACCCCCUAUUUUUCUAGGUUGACCUCGGAUCAGGUAGGGAUACCCGCUGAACUUAAGCAUAUCAAUAAGCGGAGGAAAAGAAACCAACAGGGAUUGCCUCAGUAACGGCGAGUGAAGCGGCAACAGCUCAAAUUUGAAAUCUGGCUCUUUCAGGGUCCGAGUUGUAAUUUGUAGAAGAUGCUUUGGGUGUGGCUCCGGUCUAAGUUCCUUGGAACAGGACGUCAUANAGGGUGAGAAUCCCGUACGUGACUGGUUGCCUCCGCCCG